rnacentral:rRNA from 1 species
UUUUUAAAAACAUCGUUCUUUGUUAGUUCUAAUUUAAUAAAUAAAGAAUCGUACCUGCCCAGUGAAAUGUUUUAACGGCCGCAGUACCCUGACUGUGCUAAGGUAGCAUAAUCAUUUGCCUUUUAAUUGGAGGCUGGAAUGAAUGGUUUGACGAGAAUUUGACUGUCUCUAUUAUAUUACUUGGAAAUUAUCUUUUAGGUGAAGAUUCCUAAAUUUAAUAAAAAGACGAAAAGACCCUGUCGAGCUUUUAAACUUGUAUUAAAUUUGUUUAGUUGUGGUAUAACGAUAUUUUGGUUUAAGUUUUUUGUUGGGGUGACAGAAGAACAAAAAAAGCUUCUUUUAAUUUUUAAAACUUAUAGGUUUUAAUAAUCUAUUAUUAUUAAAUUAAGAUAAGUUACCGCAGGGAUAACAGCGUUAUUUUUCUGGAAAGUUCUAAUUGAAGGAAAAGAUUGCGACCUCGAUGUUGGAUUAGAAAACCGAAUAGGCGAAGAAGCUUAUUUGAGGAGGUCUGUUCGACCUAUAAUUUUCUACAUGAUCUGAGU